rnacentral:rRNA from 1 species
AGUGAACGCUGGCGGCGUGCUUAACACAUGCAAGUCGAACGAGAACGGAAUAUAGCUUGCUAUAUUUGUCAGCUAAGUGGCGCACGGGUGAGUAAUGUAUAGAUAACCUGCCCUUAAGAAAGGAAUAACAGUUGGAAACGACUGCUAAUGCCCUAUAUGCCUUUAAUACAUAAGUAUGCAAGGGAAACGCUUUAGUGCUUAAGGAUGGGUCUGUAUGGUAUCAGCUUGUUGGUGGGGUAAUGGCUCACCAAGGCUAUGACGCCUAACUGGUUUGAGAGGAUGAUCAGUCACACUGGAACUGAGACACGGUCCAGACUCCUACGGGAGGCAGCAGUGGGGAAUAUUGCACAAUGGACGAAAGUCUGAUGCAGCAACGCCGCGUGGAGGAUGACACAUUUCGGUGCGUAAACUCCUUUUAUAUAGGAAGAUAAUGACGGUACUAUAUGAAUAAGCACCGGCUAACUCCGUGCCAGCCGCCGCAGUAA